AUCGAACGCUGGCGGCAUGCUUUACACAUGCAAGUCGAACGGCAGCGCGGUGCUCGGCCUGGCUGCGAGUGGCGAACGGGGGAGUAAUGCAUCGGAACGUGCCCAGUAGUGGGGGAUAGCCCGGUGAAAGCCGGAUUAAUACUGCAUACGACCAGAGGGUGCAACCGGGUGACCGAAAGGCCUCGCGCUAUUGGAGCGGCCGACGUCGGACUAGUUAGUUGGUGGGGUAAAGGCUUACCAAGGCGACGAUCCGUAGCUGGACUGACAGGACGACCGGCCACACUGGGACUGAGACACGGCCCAGACUACUACGAGAGGGCGCAGUGGGGAAUUGUGGGCAAUAGGGGCAACCCUGAUCCAACCAUGCCGAGUGCGAGAAGAAGGCCUUCGGUGUGUGAACCGCGUUUGUUCGGGAAGAAAUCCUCUGGCCUAAUACGCCGGGGGGAUGACGGUACCGGAAAAAGAAGCACCGGCUAACUACGUG
rnacentral:rRNA from 1 species